CAAGCCUUGACAUCCCGCCGUUUUAGUUCUGCAGAAAUGCGGAGCGAUUUUUAAGAAAUUGAAAAAGGCGGGACAGGUGUUGCAUGGCCGUCGUCAGCUCGUGCCGUAGGGUGUUCCCUUCAGUGGGGUAACGAGCGCAACCCUUGCCCUGAGUUGAAUAUUCUCAGGGGACUUCUUAAAUUUAUUUUAGGAGGAAGUGAGGACGACGUCAGGUCAGCAUGGCCCUUAUAGCUUGGGCUACACACAUGCUACAAUGGAGCCGACAGAGGGUAUAGCCAAGUCGCAAGACGGAGCUAAUCCCAUCAAACGGCUUCUCAGUGGGGAUUGGGGGCUGCAAUUCGCCCCCAUGAACGCGGAAUUGGUAGUAAUCGCGAAUCAGCUACGUCGCGGUGAAUACGUUCU
rnacentral:rRNA from 1 species